AGAACGAACGCUGGCGGCAGGCCUAACACAUGCAAGUCGAACGCUCGUAGCAAUACGGGAGUGGCGCACGGGUGAGUAACGCGUGGGCACCUGCCCGGUGGUUUGGGAUAACCGUGGGAAACUGCGGCUAAUACCGGAUACGCCCCUAGGGGGAAAGAUUUAUCGCCAUCGGAUGGGCCCGCGUAGGAUUAGCUAGUUGGUGAGGUAACGGCUCACCAAGGCGACGAUCCUUAGCUGGUCUGAGAGGAUGAUCAGCCACACUGGGACUGAGACACGGCCCAGACUCCUACGGGAGGCAGCAGUGGGGAAUAUGGACAAUGGGGGCAACCCUGAUCCAGCCAUGCGCGUGAGUGAAGAAGGCCUUCGGGUUGUAAAGCUCUUUGGCGGGACGAUGAUGACGGUACCCGCAGAAUAAGCCCCGCUAACCUUCGUGCCAGCAGCCGC
rnacentral:rRNA from 1 species